CCCUUAGAUGUUCUGGGCCGCACGCGCGCUACACUGAUGAAUUCAACGAGCUCCUAACCUAGGCCGAAGGGUCCGGGUAAUCUUUGAAAUUUCAUCGUGAUGGGGAUAGAUUAUUGCAACUAUUAAUCUUCAACGAGGAAUUCCUAGUAAGCGCGAGUCAUCAGCUCGCGUUGAUUACGUCCCUGCCCUUUGUACACACCGCCCGUCGCUCCUACCGAUUGAAUGGUCCGGUGAAAUGUUCGGACCGCGACAAGGCGGACGGUUCGCUGUCAGCUUUGCUGCGGGAAGUUCAUUAAACCUUAUCAUUUAGAGGAAGGAGAAGUCGUANCA
rnacentral:rRNA from 1 species